GAGAUGAAGAGAAAACACGGUGUCGUCUUACAGACGGUAGAAGGGAUGAAGGCUAAAAUGGAAUCAGAAGUUACUGAUCUACGACUUGUGAUUAACCAAGCUUUGGAAGAGGUGAUGCAAAACAGUUUAAAUAAAGCAACAUCAUGUAUGGAUAUGGUUAAAAGCCCGGUGUAACAUCGAGUGGGGUUUACACGUUGCACUACAGGAUGCAGCCAUUUGUAGUGUAUUGUCUUAUAAGUAAAGCCGGUGGAUAUACGUUCAUAUCACCGGAUACAUACAUGACAAUGUCGACAUCAAAACAUUGUCUAACGACAACACCCAUGUUGUUAUUCGUCAUAGACGAACAAAUGGGCUCCAGUAUGAAUCGCGUAUCGAGCAAAUAACAAGGUAUAUGUCUCGUCCACUGUCAGUGCAAUAUAAUUCCCACGUAGGAUAUACUGGAGUUGUCAAUGAUAAGAUGGGUCCAUACAUAUAUGUUGGGUUAAAUCCCCUAAAGCUUGAAAAUGGACGGAGUCAGUUAAAGGACAGACAGGGAUACAAAUCAAAUGGAAAGGAAUUUACUUUUGUCAAUUGUGACGGCAAUCCAAAUGGAUAUUUCGCUUUCCUAUUCAAUCAUAAUAAAGCUUCUUCAGUAGGAAAGGGUGAAUCCUCGGCUAUUUCUAGGAAAUGGAUCGAAUCGUCUGCCAGAGUUAGCGGCGAAAUUUUACCAGACAAGUUUAUGUCAUUCUUUGAGCUGCAUUUUGGCGGUUGUGGAGCGUUUGCUGGUACAAACCACAUUAAAGAAGUGACUGGAGCAGCCGUCGGAAUCCCCUUUCACUUCAUUUAGAAAGAAUCGUGAAUCUAAAAAUAAUGACUUUUCGUUUGCUACAGUCGAAGGCUGAAAUUAGGUGGGCUUAAACUUGUACAAAAUUAAUAUAAAACUAUUUGCCCAACACAAAGAUUUUUUUUCUUUUUGCUGUUUUCACUUUAAAUUCUUGUCUUGAUAAACGUUACUAAAAAAGGGUAAUGAACGCUUUUAUGUAUUGUUUGGAAAGCCACAGUUAAAAUUAAGAUAUGUUAUUGUUUUUUAAUAUUAUAUCUCAACAUGUGUAACUUUCUUCAAAUUAAACUAUUAUUAUUAUUAUUAUUAUUAUUAUUAUUGGUGGUGGUGAUGGUAGUAGUGGUUUUUAUUGGUCAGUUCAGACGUCAACCUAGAAAGGAUCUACCAAUUAACAUUUCGUAUAUUUUUGUACAAUCUGUAUUUCAUUCAUUCAUAUACACAUCUUUAUUCAAUACACUUAAAAAAGUAA